GCCCUCGGCUUGUAGCUAAAUUUUUUAUUUGGCCCUCCGUCCAUUUGACUUUGACACCCCUGUUCUAGAGAUAAUGGCCCUGAGGGCAUGGAGCCAGAUGGGAUCAUUGAGAGCAACUGGAAUGAGAUCGUGGACAGUUUUGAUGAGAUGAACUUGGGCGAAAAGCUGCUCAGGGGAAUCUAUGCCUAUGGUUUU